GAUGAACGCUGGCGGCGUGCCUAAUACAUGCAAGUCGAGCGAACGGACGAGAAGCUUGCUUCUCUGAUGUUAGCGGCGGACGGGUGAGUAACACGUGGAUAACCUACCUAUAAGACUGGGAUAACUUCGGGAAACCGUAGCUAAUACCGGAUAAUAUUUUGAACCGCAUGGUUCAAAAGUGAAAGACGGUCUUGCUGUCACUUAUAGAUGGAUCCGCGCUGCAUUAGCUAGUUGGUAAGGUAACGGCUUACCAAGGCAACGAUGCAUAGCCGACCUGAGAGGGUGAUCGGCCACACUGGAACUGAGACACGGUCCAGACUCCUACGGGAGGCAGCAGUAGGGAAUCCUCCGCAAUGGGCGAAAGCCUGACGGAGCAACGCCGCGUGAGUGAUGAAGGUCUUCGGAUCGUAAAACUCUGAUAUUAGGGAAGAACAUAUGUGUAAGUAACUGUGCACAUCUUGACGGUACCUAAUCAGAAAGCCACGGCUAACUACGUG
rnacentral:rRNA from 1 species